GAAACUCCAAGAAAACAAGACAAGAGUCUUGUGACCUCAGUUGCUUUCCUUGUUCUUGGAACUGUUCUUGGAAUGCGCUUUUGUGUCUCGCCCAGGUGUAGCAGAUAAGCAUGAGGGAUGGAAUUACCUGGAGCGCAGAGCCAGGACUAAGAAUCCAGACUGCUCAUAGCAUCAACAACAACCAAACAACUUCUUCAAAGGUGCCCUGGAGAAGACUCAGAGAAUCACCUGAGCUACUAUUUUAACCUUUGAGGCAAACAAACGAAGCCGGGAGCCAGUGUUCCGGCUUGGAGGGUGGCAAAACCAAAGUAGGAAAGGAGCUGUUCCAAGCCGGGCUGUCUACAGCAGGGCACAUGGUCGAUUUGAAAUACCCCCACUCAAACCCAGCCUGAUACCCACCAGCAUGUAUUUGAAAAUCACUCUGGCCACACACACAGCUCUGGGAAAAAGAACACAUGAAACGGUCGGUCGGUCAUGAUGACCAGUCUCUGGAAAUUGUUAUUAUUACUAGUUUCCAAGGAAUGUUAUUACCCUCAACAACUGUCUGGUUUCUAAAAAUUGUUAUGGGUUACCCUGCUCCAGAGCACCCAAGUUUUGAAAAUAAGUAUGAGUCACGCUUUUCCCGGAAAAACCACUAGCUGUCCCAUGGCCUUGCAGGUGUGAAACUCAAAAUAACAUUCCAAACACCUCGCGGGCAAAAUUGUAAGUUCAGUUCCCCAUCUAUCAGAGAAUGACUCAUGUAUGUUACAGCCAAUCAAUAUGUUGUCAUACUCCUG
rnacentral:lncRNA from 1 species